rnacentral:rRNA from 1 species
AGAGUUUGAUCCUGGCUCAGAGCGAACGUUAGCGGCGGGCCUAACACAUGCAAGUCGAACGAGAAAACCUUCGGGUGAGUACAGUGGCGCACGGGUGAGGAACGCGUAGGUAAUCUACCCUCCGGCGGGGGACAACACUCCGAAAGGAAUGCUAAUACCGCAUAAGACCACGCUUACUAAGGUGAGAGUGGUAAAAGACGCCUCAAAGCGCCACCAGAGGAUGAGCCUGCGUCCCAUCAGUUUGUUGGUAAGGUAACGGCUUACCAAGGCGAAGACGGGUAGCUGGUCUGAGAGGAUGAUCAGCCACACUGGUACUGGAACACGGACCAGACUCCUACGGGAGGCAGCAGUGAGGAAUAUUGGGCAAUGGGCGAAAGCCUGACCCAGCCACGCCGCGUGUGUGAUGAAGGCCUUCGGGUCGUAAAGCACUGUGGGGAGAGACGAAACUGCGCAGGAGGAAAUGCCUGCGUGCUGACGGUACCUCCUUACCUAGCACCGGCUAACUCUGUGCCUGCGCCCGCGGUAAU